rnacentral:rRNA from 1 species
UGGGGAAUUUUGGACAAUGGGCGAAAGCCUGAUCCAGCAAUGCCGCGUGUGUGAAGAAGGCCUUCGGGUUGUAAAGCACUUUUGUCCGGAAAGAAAUCCUUGGCUCUAAUACAGUCGGGGGAUGACGGUACCGGAAGAAUAAGCACCGGCUAACUACGUGCCAGCAGCCGCGGUAAUACGUAGGGUGCAAGCGUUAAUCGGAAUUACUGGGCGUAAAGCGUGCGCAGGCGGUUUGCUAAGACCGAUGUGAAAUCCCCGGGCUCAACCUGGGAACUGCAUUGGUGACUGGCAGGCUAGAGUAUGGCAGAGGGGGGUAGAAUUCCACGUGUAGCAGUGAAAUGCGUAGAGAUGUGGAGGAAUACCGAUGGCGAAGGCAGCCCCCUGGGCCAAUACUGACGCUCAUGCACGAAAGCGUGGGGAGCAAACAGGAUUAGAUACCCUGGUAGUCCACGCCCUAAACGAUGUCAACUAGUUGUUGGGGAUUCAUUUCCUUAGUAACGUAGCUAACGCGUGAAGUUGACCGCCUGGGGA